CCUACGGGAGGCAGCAGUGAGGAAUAUUGGUCAAUGGGCGUAAGCCUGAACCAGCCAAGUAGCGUGCAGGAUGACGGCCCUAUGGGUUGUAAACUGCUUUUAUACGGGAAUAAAGUGCGUUACGUGUCGGGUUUUGUAUGUACCGUAUGAAUAAGGACCGGCUAAUUCCGUGCCAGCAGCCGCGGUAAUACGGAAGGUCCGGGCGUUAUCCGGAUUUAUUGGGUUUAAAGGGAGCGUAGGCCGCAUGUUAAGUCUGCGGUGAAAUGGCGGGGCUCAACCCUGGCCUUGCAGCGCGAACUGGCGUGCUUGAGUCCGCGGAAGGCAGGCGGAAUUCGUGGUGUAGCGGUGAAAUGCUUAGAUAUAACGAAGAACCCCGAUUGCGAAGGCAGCUUGCGGCAGCGGAACUGACGCUGAUGCUCGAAAGCGCGGGUAUCGAACAGGAUUAGAUACCCGGGUAGUC
rnacentral:rRNA from 1 species